rnacentral:misc_RNA from 1 species
CGGUGCUUCCGUCAUUCGCCAUCUUGGCAUCGUUCGAUGCGAAAGACAGAGCGGCGGUUUAUUUUGCUUAAUUUGGUGUGAAUACGCUAUUCUAUUGUCAGUGAAAGUAUACAAGAGUAACAAGAAAAUGAGCUACGGCAGGCCGCCGCCCCGUAUCGACGGCAUGGUGUCGUUGAAAGUCGAUAAUCUCACGUAUAGAACAACGCCGGAGGAUCUGAGACGCGUGUUCGAGCGAUGCGGCGAAGUUGGGGACAUUUACAUACCUCGUGACCGAUUCACCCGUGAGAGUCGAGGCUUCGCCUUCGUCAGAUUCUACGACAAGCGGGACGCCGAAGAUGCACUUGACGCCAUGGAUGGACGUCUCCUUGACGGCAGGGAGUUGAGAGUUCAGAUGGCUCGUUAUGGACGGCCAACUUCACCGCACCGAAGCCGCGGAAGCCGACGUCGCGGAAGAUCACGUAGCAGAAGCAGGGACCGUAGACGUUCACGUUCCAGGUCUCGGUCUAGGUCACGCAGUCGCGAUCGAGAUCGCAAACGAUCUUACAGUCGCAGCCGCAGUCGUUCCCGUUCGGACAGCAAGAGCUCUCGUGGCAAGUCACACUCACGCAGCAAAUCGCAGGAAAGACAGAAAGAUAGCCGUUCCAAGUCAAGGGAUUGAAGAUGAUAUGGCUCAGAGUGUAUAGCAGGGAACUGAUGGAUGUGCUCAGUUGCAAAAGCAGUAAAGCAUUCUGACAAAACAAUAAAGGCGGUGGGAAGGAGUGGCGUGGCGAGUGUAGCUGAUGAUGGGGGUAGCUGAGUAAGCAGUAAGCCGAGUAGCGGGGCUGUAAGCAGUAUGCAGUGUGCAGUAGCGAGCGAGCGGUUGGUGGUCUGGUGAAAGCGAGUUCGCGACCAGUCAGGCGAAAGUGUGCGAGCGUGAGCAGUCUGGGGGGUCAGAGUGCUGAGAUAUUGCUGAGAGCACUCGAGCACAGAAAUUGCCGAAAGCAGCCAGAACUACGCUGUGCUGUCGCAGCCGAUCUUUACUCGCAGGUAGCACGAGAAUCACCAGACCUCGCAAGCAGCAACGCAUAUAGCAGCAAUGAACAGAGUCUACCUUUUUUUUAUACACAUUCAUUAAUAUUCCUGAUCACGAGAUCCAUAUGUGGUUCUGUUCAAGUGUUUAAUGAGUGAGAGGAUGGCUGCAAAAAAAGGAUGAGUAAAAACAUGCAUUCCACCCACUUACCACUCUGUCCUUUUCCUCCGAUACUACACAAGGAAAUUUCCCGUAUUUAUGCAAUGUGUAGAGUUGGCAAAAACUGUGUUUUGAGCGAAUCUCCGUACCAAGAACACAUGUUAGUUUUAAUUUUCCUUUUCGUCCAGCCCCCUCAGUUCCUCAUUAACAAACCAUUGAUCUCAAAAUCAAGAAUUAUUGGUGCACGUGUACAAAGGUUUCUCGUUUCCCAGUAAAUUAUAAAGAAAACAGUUUACUGUUGAUCAUCAUUAAUUGAAUUGUAAUAAAUGAUAAUCAAGGAGAUAGUCUUUACAAGUAGUCUUAUGGUUUUGUUCAUUGAAGUUUAUUGUUUGUGCUACGUUCUGAGUUGAUACGUGUUGAAUUGAUUACGUUCUUCUACUUUUCAUAUUCUAUAAACGUAACAUUUGCUUGAAAUCAACAGUAAACGUUCUUGUUGGGCUUGCUGAUCUAUGUUACUUUGUGAUGGUUAUAUUAUUCGUGGGUUAAUAUGAAAGACGUCUUCCGUUUAGUAGUCUACCAUUCAGAAAAUUGCCACUACUCCUUAAUAAAUGGCAUAGGCUGGGGAUAUCAUGUGUUUUUGUGUAUCUGAAUUUCAGGAAUUCGAUGGUCAACAAUUUUCGUAGUUGAAAAGGUAAGAUCUUAUAUAAUUGGUGACAAUAUAAAGUAAAUGGGGUAUUUUUCAGAUUGUUUGAGUGGAUUUGUUUUGCAUAUAAUUUUUGAAAACCAACAUGUCUUUGGCGUAAUUUAAAAAUGGGAAAACAGUCUUAAAAAUCUAGUGUCAAUGAUCAACAUUUUUAAGCCUAAACUCCCAGGACGGCUAUAGUUCACUUCUAUUCAUUUUGGAGGUUUUUGAAGAAAAAUAAAUAAGUAAAAGCAACAGUCAGUCUAUUGUGGGUUGCUAGUUGAAGAUGUUGAUACGUAACCCAAGAUUUUAAGAAUUUUUUAGAUUUUCUAACUAACUUUAUUCCUAAAAUCAAAGUCGAAGGGUUAUCCGAUGGCCAUGAUUUAAAAAUAUAAAAAUGCCCCAAAUGCACAACUACCUAUACGUAUGUAUAGAAGAUUCUCCGAGGACUUCAAGGGAUGUGGAAUGUACUUUUUGAGAUGACAAUAAAUACGAUUUUUGGUAACA